rnacentral:rRNA from 1 species
UACGUAGGAAGCGAGCGUUAUCCGGAAUUACUGGGCGUAAAGCGCGCGUAGGUGGUCUUUCAAGUCGAAUGUGAAAUUUCCCGGCUUAACCGGGAAGGGUCAUUUGAUACUGUUGGACUAGAGAGCGGCAGGGGGAAGCGGAAUUCCCGGUGUAGUAGUGAAAUGCGUAGAUAUCGGGAGGAACACCAGUGGCGAAGGCGGCUUCCUGGGCUGUUUCUGACACUGAGGCGCGAAAGUGUGGGUAGCGAACAGAAUUAGAUACUCUGGUAGUCCACACCGUAAACGAUGGGUACUAGGUAUAGGGAGUAUCGACCCUCUUUGUGCCGAAGCUAACGCUUUAAGUACCCCGCCUGGGGACUACGGCCGCAAGGCUAAA